GUGGAUGGGGCGAUGAGCAAGAGGAGCACGUGGUUGAUAAGAUAAAGCACGAGCACAUGGGGCGCUUCUUUCUUUCUUUACCUCGCGGGAACGGAGGCCAGCUGGACAGCCAGCUAGCUGCACUUGGGCCCAGAUUAGCGCGUUUUUAUUUUUAUUUAUAUAUUUUUUCAUUGUUAUUUCUUCUAGCCUUUAGUUAUUAUUAGGUUUUGUUGUUUGGGUUUACAGCGACCCUGGGGUGCUGUAGUCUUUAAUACAGUAUUCACGCGCUGUAUUAGAAAAGGGGAGGCUAGCAAACACGAGGUGAAGCUAAUGGGCUGUGUAAUGCGGACUGGAGGGACACUGAAGAGUUAGUUGUUUGUAUGAAAAUAUUGGCUAUCUGAGCUCGCUUAAACUCGCACGCAGAUCAUUUUAAAGCCGUACUAGCCAUAAAUAUCAGCGCUGCAGGGGAGCUGUGCUGAAUCCCCGUGUUCGCAAAGGAGCUGCCGGGUCAGAUCAGGCUUCAGGAGCACGCGAGAUGGGUCCAGCUGCAAUUUAUGGUCUGAUGGUGAGUUACUUCCUUUCUCUGAGGUGUGUUGUGCUGAUAAGCUGGAUGUCUGUCCAUGUUUCAUCUGAACAUCGUUACUAUUAGGGCUGCAACUAAUGAUUAUAUUGGUAGUCGAUUAAACUGAUUAUUUUUUGGAUUAGUCAACGAUUAUUUCUGCCACUUCCUCAAUCUCUAAAAACAAAAGACAGAUAAACACAAGGGUUAAAAGGCAUUUAAAGGUCUAGAUUUUGUUUGAACAUGGACUAAAUUUAGUAAGUAAAUAUGUAAUCUGUUGUCUCUGGGCACUUUUGGAAAAACAGAGUUGAAUUUAAACUGUUUAAGUAAGCCACUUACCCAUCUCCCAUUGUGCUUCUGCCUCCAGUACUUUGUGUAAUGCAGUACUUUUACAAAUUAAAGAUUAGUCAACAAUGAAAUUUUUACGGCAAAUUAAAAAAAUCGACAUUGUCUAUGUCGACUAAUCGUUGCAGCCCUAGUUACAUUUUACAUGCUUUGAAAGACUAGUUACUACAUGUUGCACCUUCAUUGUGUAGAAAUAAUGCCUUUUGCAGUCAUUUAAAGCUAAUCCCAGUGUACAUUUUUUGAAAAUUUAACUUUUGUUUACAUUGUUUUACUAUUGAUCUGGUUUUGUAACUGAAGCACUGAAUGAUCAUGUACAUGCUCAAUUAAUAAAUGUCUUAAUUAUGAA